GUCAACUACCUCGGCCUCAAGGCCGGGCUUGAAAAAGCCUCUAGUUGACUAGCCU
rnacentral:ncRNA from 1 species